ACGAAUGGAAAAAAGCAGGAUUAUUCGACAGAGUGCCAAUCCACUUGAUGCCUCGUUCCAGCGGUGAGGAAGUGAUCGCAUGUUUGAUUCUUCACGUCUUACCCGGGGAACCAGGCCACAGCCGCGUGAUCUCAUAGCAAUGGUUGACGUGACCUCCAGAAAUCAAGUGAUGCUGUACACCAAGCGGGCGCUGUUCCCGUACGUGGGGUCAUCGGCGUCGGUGGCCGUUACCUGCAUCACCGACGUACCUGCCAAGCAAAAACCCAGUUUGACUUCGUUCACCAAAAAAAAGGAGUUGUUCUGCACAGCCAGGAAACGAGCAGCGCUCGGCAACGUUUGCAUGGCAACUUAUAUGAUCCAAUCACUGAAGCAGCAGAUUCGGACAUGACAACUUGGCCAGAGGUGCAAGAAAGAGCUGGCUGUGCAGCAAAUGAGAUAACGACUCCCUCGGGUGAGGAGAUGUAAAGUUCAACAGAUGACCUUGCUUCGCAACACUCAAAAGCUUUUAUGGGCCACAAAUGACUCGGAGGGCCAGAUGUGCUUCGUGGAGCUUUGAGUUUGACACCUGUUUGCAAGACCGAGAAAAAUGCCUGCAAGGGCCGACCGCCUGUGAUUUCUCAAGAGCUGUGAGAAAGAAAGGAAAGAAGCUGACUUUCCUUUAAAAGCUUUUCUACAGGGAGACGAUUUUGAUCAACUUGCAAAGUUUCGUUGCCUCUUCAGGAUUGUAGACUUGUUGGUUUGUUGACUCACCGGGCGCCAGCGCCCCCAAUGUUGCUAUCUCGCGCCCCGACGCCGCCUCAGAGACACACCGUGUUCCCGGCAGCUUCUAUUAUUCAACAACAAACAAUCAAGUCGCCCUGGCAAACUUUUCCUGAGAUGAGAGUUAGAUGGAUUUUAGCCGCCCGCGACUUUCUCACAAAAUCAAUGGGGAGCACAAAGUGGACUCCAAAGGACUCCAUAAACAUCUUUAUCACCGCACUGCACUGACAGCGGCUUUUCAACAAGACUAAAGGUAAUUAGAUUUUACAAUAAAAGGUUUUCAUCACUGCAACAUACUGAAAAC